CUACUCCUCUGCAGCAGUGCAUCCCACAGACAAAAGAGAGUGAGACCUUGUGACUGUGAAGUAUCACAUAUAUCUCUUUAAAAUCAGGACCUGAAAAUCUUCUCUAAAAUGAUGGCUGCUUAGCUUCAGUCUCUACUUCCCAAAAUGGUGCACCCUGCCAAACAGGCUUUGUUAAAGGUCGGCAUUCUGUGCACAAUAAUCGUAUACUACUUGUUGCGCAGAUUUAAGCACAUCCAGAUGAAGAAAGGUGGAAAAUAAUAUUAGUAAGCUGUUAUGCAGCCAAACUCUUUGACUGGUGUCCUGGACCCAUCUUCUCUGUAUUAUUCAUCACCAGAGGAUCAUCGGACUGUUAUAUUCAAUAUGUCUCAACCUGGAUGGAUCAUCGGACUGUUAUAUUCAAUAUGUCUCAACCUGGAUGGUAA